UACAGAGGUCUCAAGCGUUGUUCGGAUUCAUUGGGCGUAAAGGGUGCGUAGGCGGCGCGGUAAGUCGGGUGUGAAAUCUCGGGGCUUAACUCCGAAACUGCAUUCGAUACUGCCGUGCUUGAGGACUGGAAAGGAGACUGGAAUUUACGGUGUAGCGGUGAAAUGCGUAGAUAUCGUAAGGAAGACCAGUGGCGAAGGCGGGUCUCUGGACAGUUCCUGACGCUGAGGCACGAAGGUCAGGGGAGCAAAC
rnacentral:rRNA from 1 species